AUUGAACGCUGGCGGCAUGCUUUACACAUGCAAGUCGAACGGUAACAGGUUAAGCUGACGAGUGGCGAACGGGUGAGUAAUACAUCGGAACGUGCCCGAGAGUGGGGGAUAACGAGGCGAAAGCUUUGCUAAUACCGCAUACGAUUUCAGGAUUAAAGCAGGGGACCGCAAGGCCUCGCGCUCACGGAGCGGCCGAUGGCAGAUUAGGUAGUGGGUGGGAUAAAAGCUUACCAAGCCGCCGAUCUGUAGCUGGUCUGAGAGGACGACCAGCCACACUGGGACUGAGCCACGGCCCAGACUCCUACGGGCGGCAGCAGUGGGGAAUUUUGGACAAUGGGCGCAAGCCUGAUCCAGCCAUGCCGCGUGCAGGAUGAAGGCCUUCGGGUUGUAAACUGCUUUUGUACGGAACGAAAAGACUCUGGUUAAUACCUGGGGUCCAUGACGGUACCGUAAGAAUAAGCACCGGCUAACUACGUGCCAGCCGCCGCAGUAAAAC
rnacentral:rRNA from 1 species